AGAAUGGAAGGGCCACCUGCUCACAAGAGAGAACACAUCCCUGCCAACCAACCUGGCAACCUGGCUGUGCUGGGCCCCGACCCACAGAAUCCCCCUCCCACACCAGGCCCAGCUGGGAACAGAAGCCUAACUUGACAGCGCCCCAGUCCUGGUCUAGCUGUGGCAUGCACCUCACUUCCGGGGAAUUCUUGGUCAUCCAGAGAAGCAGGCCCCCACUGGGCAUCCAUCAGCCUGACAGGAUCUCAGCUCCAGUGGGGAGACCAAGGAGACCAACGACAGAGGGGAGAAGAGCCUGGAGACCCUCUGCUGGAACCUGGAGGGCCUUGCAAUGACUUCAGAGCAAGUUGGGGUGGAGUGAACAGAGCCGGUGGCAAAGGGGCAGCAAGAGGACGACGAGAGGUCCCCAGAGGACCCGGGGGCUAUAGCACCUCUGGUCCAGCUGGGACCUGUCCAGCCCGCUCCUCCUCCUGGGCAGGCAGCCUUGG